rnacentral:rRNA from 1 species
AACGAACGCUGGCGGCAUGCCUAACACAUGCAAGUCGAACGGGAUCCUGGCUUCGGUCAGGUGAGAGUGGCGGACGGGUGAGUAACGCGUGGGAACCUGCCCAGUGGUGGGGGAUAACUGCGGGAAACUGCAGCUAAUACCGCAUGAGCCCGAGAGGGGAAAGAUUUAUCGCCAUUGGAGGGGCCCGCGUUCGAUUAGGUAGUUGGUGAGGUAACGGCUCACCAAGCCGACGAUCGAUAGCUGGUCUGAGAGGAUGAUCAGCCACACUGGGACUGAGAUACGGCCCAGACCUCCUACGGGAGGCAGCAGGUGGGGAAUAUUGGACAAGUGGGGGCAACCCUGAUCCAGCAAUGCCGCGUGAGUGAUGAAGGCCUUC